rfam:Candidatus Altiarchaeum sp. CG2_30_32_3053 cg_3.0_sub100_scaffold_97_c, whole genome shotgun sequence.
GCGAGGGUUCCCAAGCGGUCAAAGGGGCAAGGCUUAGGACCUUGUGUGCGUAAGCCUUCAUGGGUUCGAAUCCCAUCUCUCGCA